rnacentral:sRNA from 1 species
UUGAUGAUGUGGUUGAUGGUUCUGGAGA